UGGUUUAGGAUUUUUGGUCUACUUACCUAGCACCUUACAAUUCAAUUCCCUAAACCAACCAGUUGCUCCAGAUGUGAACUAAAUCAGCACAAGGCAGGGAUUGAGCUCCAGACCUUUUUGGUUAGUAGAGCUCAGCUGCUAAUUGUGUAGUGGGAUAACUGUCACGCUUCAACAUUAACACAUUGCAAAGUUUAAUCAGCGUUCUGCGGUAUAUUUAUUGCAGGUUGAGGGGUCGUCCCAUAUGUAUGAGGAUGGUCAAAGCAUUUCGUUACUAUUUCCAGCAUCCAUGGAGUCGGCUGAUUGUGGCCUAUUUGGUGACUUUCUUCAACUUCCUCAUUUUUGCUGAAGAUCCUAUUUCUCACAGCCAGACUCCCGCCAAUGUAAUUGUUGUUGGAAACUGCUUCUCUUUCAUAGUAAACAAGUAUCCUGGAGGAGGAUGGAGCUGCUUAAAAGUGCUACUGUGGUUGCUAGGUAUUAUGACGGGCCUUGUUGCAGGAAAGUUUUUGUUCCAUCAGCGGAUG